CCUACGGGAGGCAGCAGUGGGGGAUCUUGCGCAAUGGGCGAAAGCCUGACGCAGCAACGCCGCGUGCGGGAAGAAGGCUUUCGGGCUGUAAACCGCUUUCAGCAGGAACGAAAAUGACGGUACCUGCAGAAGAAGGAGCGGCCAACUAUGUGCCAGCAGCCGCGGUGAUACAUAGGCUUCAAGCGUUGUCCGGAUUUAUUGGGCGUAAAGAGUUCGUAGGCGGUCGAGUAAGUCGGGUGUGAAAAUUCUGGGCUCAACCCAGAGACGCCACCCGAUACUGCUUAACUUGAGUUCGAUAGGGGAGUGGGGAAUUCCUAGUGUAGCGGUGAAAUGCGCAGAUAUUAGGAGGAACACCGGUGGCGAAGGCGCCACUCUGGAUCGAUACUGACGCUGAGGAACGAAAGCAUGGGUAGCAAACAGGAUUAGAUACCCUGGUAGUCCAUGCCGUAAACGGUGGGCACUAGGUGUGGGAUUCUAUUAACGAAUUCCGCGCCGUCGCUAACGCAUUAAGUGCCCCGCCUGGGGAGUACGGUCGCAAGACUAAAACUCAAAGAUAAGUGACGUUGNGAGAGCGACGACGACGACGAGGAGGAGAG
rnacentral:rRNA from 1 species